UACGAAGGGGGGCUAGCGUUGCUCGGAAUCACUGGGCGUAAAGGGUGCGUAGGCGGGUCUUUAAGUCAGGGGUGAAAUCCUGGAGCUCAACUCCAGAACUGCCUUUGAUACUGAAGAUCUUGAGUUCGGGAGAGGUGAGUGGAACUGCGAGUGUAGAGGUGAAAUUCGUAGAUAUUCGCAAGAACACCAGUGGCGAAGGCGGCUCACUGGCCCGAUACUGACGCUGAGGCACGAAAGCGUGGGGAGCAAACAGGA
rnacentral:rRNA from 1 species